rnacentral:rRNA from 1 species
CCUACGGGUGGCAGCAGUGGGGAAUAUUGGGCAAUGGGCGCAAGCCUGACCCAGCAACGCCGCGUGAAGGAAGAAGGCUUUCGGGUUGUAAACUUCUUUUCUCAGGGACGAAGCAAGUGACGGUACCUGAGGAAUAAGCCACGGCUAACUACGUGCCAGCAGCCGCGGUAAUACGUAGGUGGCAAGCGUUAUCCGGAUUUACUGGGUGUAAAGGGCGUGUAGGCGGGACUGCAAGUCAGAUGUGAAAACCAUGGGCUCAACCUAUGGCCUGCAUUUGAAACUGUAGUUCUUGAGUACUGGAGAGGCAGACGGAAUUCCAGGUGUAGGAGUGAAAUCCGUAGAUAUCUGGAGGAACAUCAGUGGCGAAGGCGACUAUCUGGCACAUAACUGACGCUGAGGAGCGAAAGCGUGGGUAGCAAACAGGAUUAGAUACCCCUGUAGUC